rnacentral:rRNA from 1 species
CCCUUAGACGUUCUGGGCCGCACGCGCGCUACACUGACCAGUGCAACAAGCAUCCGUCCUUGGCCGACAGGCUCGGGCAAUCUUUGAACGCUGGUCGUGAUGGGGAUAGACUUUUGCAAUUUUUGGUCUUCAACGAGGAAUGCCUAGUAAGCGCAAGUCAUCAGCUUGCGUUGAUUACGUCCCUGCCCUUUGUACACACCGCCCGUCGCUCCUACCGAUUGAAUGGUCCGGUGAAGCGUUUGGACUAUGGUUUUCUGACGGUUCGCCAUUGGAUUACCGUGGGAAAUUCGUUAAACCUUAUCAUUUAGAGGAAGGAGAAGUCGUAACA